rnacentral:snRNA from 9 species
AUACUUAUCUGACGUAGGGAUACCGUGAUUAUGCAGGCGGUUCCCUCAGGAUGAGGCUACCUCAUUACUCUGCGGAGUGGUGGACCCUUGCGAUUAUUUUUAUUUUUUUUUAAGUUUCACUUCUACCGUGGGUGACUUUGCACACACACACACACA